GCGUCGGUAGCGCAAUGGGGUAGAGCACGCGCCCUCGGAUAGGAUGUAAUGCAGGUUCGAGUCCCGCCUGACGCA